UACGUAGGUGGCGAGCGUUGUCCGGAUUUACUGGGCGUAAAGAGCGCGCAGGCGGUCGUUCAAGUCGCGUGUGAAAGCCCCCGGCUCAACUGGGGAGGGUCACGCGAUACUGAUCGACUCGAAGGCAGGAGAGGGAAGUGGAAUUCCCGGUGUAGUGGUGAAAUGCGUAGAUAUCGGGAGGAACACCAGUGGCGAAGGCGGCGAUCUGGGAAGGAUACUGACGCUGAGGUGCGAAAGCGUGGGGAGCAAACAGG
rnacentral:rRNA from 1 species